rnacentral:rRNA from 1 species
GACGAACGCUGGCGGCGUGCUUAACACAUGCAAGUCGAGCGGAAAGGCCCUUCGGGGUACUCGAGCGGCGAACGGGUGAGUAACACGUGAGUAACCUGCCCCAGACUUUGGGAUAACCCUCGGAAACGGGGGCUAAUACCGGAUACGACACAGCUUCGCAUGGGGUCUGUGUGGAAAGUUUUUCGGUUUGGGAUGGGCUCGCGGCCUAUCAGCUUGUUGGUGGGGUGAUGGCAUACCAAGGCGACGACGGGUAGCCGGCCUGAGAGGGCGACCGGCCACACUGGGACUGAGACACGGCCCAGACUCCUACGGGAGGCAGCAGUGGGGAAUAUUGCACAAUGGGCGGAAGCCUGAUGCAGCGACGCCGCGUGAGGGAUGACGGCCUUCGGGUUGUAAACCUCUUUCAGCAGGGACGAAGCGUAAGUGACGGUACCUGCAGAAGAAGCGCCGGCCAACUACGUG